GUUUGCCCCAACAGCAAGUACACUACAAAAUUUGAACCAGAGAAGACUAGCAUGGUCCCUAUGCAAAGAUAACAUGCAAAUUCGUGAAGCACUUCCUAUUUUU